rnacentral:rRNA from 1 species
GAGGUACUUUUGGGGUAGGGGUGAAAUCCUUAAAUCCUAAAAGGACCACCAGUGGCGAAGGCGUCAGACUAACACAGCUCCGACGGUGAGGAACGAAACCCUGGGGCGCAAACGGGAUUAGAUACCCCGGUAGUNCAGGGCGUAAACGCUGUGGGCUUGGUGUUGGAUGUCCUAUGGGGGCAUUCAGUGCCGGAGAGAAGUUGUUAAGCCUACUGCCUGGGGAAUACGGUCGCAAGGCUGAAACUUAAAGGAAUUGGCGGGGGAGCACAGCAACGGGUGGAGCGUGCGGUUUAAUUGGAUUCAACGCCGGAAAACUCACCGGAGGUGACUGCCACAUGAGAGUCAGGCUAAAGACUUUACUCGAUUAAUAGGUAGAGAGGUGGUGCAUGGCCGUCGUCAGUUCGUACUGUAAAGCGUUCUGUUAAGUCAGAUAACGAACGAGACCCCUGCUGCUAGUUGCUACUCAUCUCCCCGGAGAUGAGGCACACUAUCGGGACCGCUGUCGCUAAGCCAGAGGAAGGGGGGGGCAACGGUAGGUCAGUAUGCCCUGAAUCCUCCGGGCUACACGCGCGCUACAAAGGAUAGGACAAUGAGUUUCGACUCCGAGAGGGGAAGGUAAACCCGAAACCUAUACCGUAGUUCGGAUUGAAGGUUGCAACUCACCUUCAUGAAGCUGGAAUCCGUAGUAAUCGCGGAUCAACAUUCCGCGGUGAAUACGCCCCUGCUCCUUGCACACACCGCCUGUCAAACCACCCUAGUUGUGGGUGGAUGAGGAUGCUCAUUUCUUGGGGCGUUCAAAUCUAUUUACAGCAAGGAGGGUUAAGUCGUAACAAGGUAACC